rnacentral:ncRNA from 1 species
UAAAAAACUAUGAAAAAGAGAGUAGAUGAAGAAUACUUUUUCAGGGAGAAAAGGUCAUAGACUGAAAGCCUUUUUAAAAGUUUUUCAUCGAAGUUCACUUUGGAGUUCUGACAGUGAAAUAUAGUAGCUGUUGGUGGAUAAAACCAUUAAAUUUAUCUAAGAGGACAUUUUUAUGUCAAUUAGGGUGGUACCGCGGAAAAAUCCGUCCCUUAU